rnacentral:rRNA from 1 species
AGCAGCCGCGGUAAUUCCAGCUCCAAUAGCGUAUAUUAAAGUUGUUGCAGUUAAAAAGCUCGUAGUUGAAUUUCAGGCCUGGCUGGACGGUCCGCCCUUCGGGUGAGUACUGUCUGUGGUCGGGUCCUACCUUCUGGCGAAGCGUCAUGGCCUUAACCGGCCGUGGCGGGGAACCAGGACUUUUACUGUGAAAAAUUAGAGUGUUCAAAGCAGGCAAUCGCUUGGAUACAUUAGCAUGGAAUAAUGGAAUAGGACGAUGGUCCUAUUUGUUGGUUUCUAGGACCGUUGUAAUGAUUAAUAGGGAUAGUUGGGGGCAUUAGUAUUCAAUUGUCAGAGGUGAAAUUCUUGGAUUUAUUGAAGACUAACUACUGCGAAAGCAUUUGCCAAGGAUGUUUUCAUUAAUCAAGAACGAAAGUUAGGGGAUCGAAGACGAUCCGAUACCGUCGUAGUCUUAACCAUAAACUAUGCCGACUAGGAAUCGGGCGAUGUUGACAAAAUGACGCGCUCGGCACCUCAUGGG